rnacentral:rRNA from 1 species
GAUGAACGCUGGCGGCGUGCCUAAUACAUGCAAGUCGAGUGAACGGACGAGAAGCUUGCUUCUCUGAUGUUAGUGGCGGACGGGUGAGUAACACGUGGAUAACCUACCUAUAAGACUGGGAUAACUUCGGGAAACCGGAGCUAAUACCGGAUAAUAUUUUGAACCGCAUGGUUCAAAAGUAAAAGACGGUCUUGCUGUCACUUAUAGAUGGAUCCGCGCUGCAUUAGCUAGUUGGUAAGGUAACGGCUUACCAAGGCAACGAUGCAUAGCCGACCUGAGAGGGUGAUCGGCCACACUGGAACUGAGACACGGUCCAGACUCCUACGGGAGGCAGCAGUAGGGAAUCUUCCGCAAUGGGCGAAAGCCUGACGGAGCAACGCCGCGUGAGUGAUGAAGGUCUUCGGAUCGUAAAACUCUGUUAUUAGGGAAGAACAUAUGUGUAAGUAACUGUGCACAUCUUGACGGUACCUAAUCAGAAAGCCACGGCUAACUACGUG